GGGCAGUUAGCUCAGUCGGUUGAGCGCAGUGCUGAAAAAACUGAGGUCACGGGUUCGAUUCCCGCUCGGUCCC
rnacentral:tRNA from 1 species